UGGGGGAUAUUGCACAAUGGGCGAAAGCCUGAUGCAGCGACGCCGCGUGGGGGAUGAAGGCUUUCGGGUUGUAAACCUCUUUCGCUAUCGAACAAGGCCCGCUUAGGGUGGGUUGAGGGUAGGUGGAGAAGAAGCGCCGGCUAACUACGUGCCAGCAGCCGCGGUAAUACGUAGGGCGCGAGCGUUGUCCGGAAUUAUUGGGCGUAAAGGGCUUUAGGCGGCUUGUUGCGCCUGCUGUGAAAACGCGGGGCUUAACUUCGCGCGUGCAGUGGGUACGGGCAGGCUUGAGUGUGGUAGGGGUGACUGGAAUUCCAGGUGUAGCGGUGGAAUGCGCAGAUAUCUGGAGGAACACCGAUGGCGAAGGCAGGUCACUGGGCCAUUACUGACGCUGAGGAGCGAAAGCAUGGGUAGCGAACAGG
rnacentral:rRNA from 1 species